rnacentral:tRNA from 1 species
GGAGACGUGGCUGAGUGGUUGAAAGCACCUCGCUGCUAAUGAGGCAGGGCGAAAGCCCUCGGAGGUUCAAAUCCUCUCGUCUCCG